rnacentral:rRNA from 1 species
UACAGAGGUCUCAAGCGCUGUUCGGAUUCAUUGGGCGUAAAGGGUGCGUAGGCGGCGCGGUAAGUCGGGUGUGAAAUCUCGGGGCUUAACUCCGAAACUGCAUUCGAUACUGCCGUGCUUGAGGACUGGAGAGGAGACUGGAAUUUACGGUGUAGCGGUGAAAUGCGUAGAUAUCGUAAGGAAGACCAGUGGCGAAGGCGGGUCUCUGGACAGUUCCUGACGCUGAGGCACGAAGGCCAGGGGAGCAAACGGG